AAAGAGAAGCGAAACAGUGAUGUGGAGCAAAACUCAAAAAAAUAGUCUCAGUUCGGAUUGAAGGCUGAAAUUCGCCUUCAUGAAGCCGGAAUUGCUAGUAAUCGCGGAUCAGCACGCCGCGGUGAAUACGUUCCCGGGCCUUGUACACACCGCCCGUCACACCAUGAGAGUCUGUAACACCCAAAGCCGGUGGGAUAACCUUUAUAGGAGUCAGCCGUCUAAGGUAGGACAGAUGAUUAGGGUGAAGUCGUAACAAGGUACC
rnacentral:rRNA from 1 species